ensembl:miRNA
AUGUAUUAGGUUGGUGCAAAAGUAAUUGCAGUUUUUGCCAUUACUUUCAAAGGUAAAAAACCACAAUUACUUUUGCAGCAACCUAAUAAAUA